rnacentral:rRNA from 1 species
UAACACGUGGGUGACUUGCCCCGAAGAUGGGGAUAACCUCUGGAAACGGGGGCUAAUACCCAAUGUGCUCGGUGAUUCGGUUCAUCGAGUAAAGCUCCGGCGCUUCGGGAGAGGCCUGCGGCCCAUCAGCUAGUUGGUAGGGUAACGGCCUACCAAGGCAGAGACGGGUAGGGGGCGUGAGAGCGCGGACCCCCACACUGGCACUGAGAUACGGGCCAGACUCCUACGGGAGGCAGCAGUAAGGGAUAUUGCGCAAUGGACGAAAGUCAGACGCAGCGACGCCGCGUGGGCGAUGAAGGCCUUCGGGUUGUAAAGCCCUUUUAUGGGGGAAGAGAAAAAGGACGGUACCCCAGGAAUAAGUCCCGGCUAACUACGUGCCAGCAGCCGCGGUAAAACGUAGGGGACAAGCGUUAUCCGGAUUCACUGGGCGUAAAGAGCGUUGAGGCGGUUCCGUAAGUUGGGCGUGAAAGCUCCGGGCUUAACUCGGAGAUGUCGUUCAAUACUGCGGGGCUUGAGGACAGCAGAGGAAGGUGGAAUUCCCGGUGUAGUGGUGAAAUGCGUAGAUAUCGGGAGGAACACCCGUGGCGAAGGCGGCCUUCUGGGCUGUUCCUGACGCUGAAGGCGAAAGCUAGGGGAGCGAACGGGAUUAGAUACCCCGGUAGUCCUAGCUGUAAACGAUGGAUGCUGGGUGUGGGGGGUGUAAAUUCCCUCUGUGCCGAAGCAAACGCGUUAAGCAUCCCGCCUGGGGACUACGGCCGCAAGGCUAAAACUCAAACGAAUUGACGGGGGCCCGCACAAGCAGCGGAGCGUGUGGUUUAAUUCGAUGCUACACGAAGAACCUUACCUGGGUUUGACAUGCACGUGGUAGGGAACCGAAAGGGGACCGACCUUCGGGAGCGUGCACAGGUGCUGCAUGGCUGUCGUCAGCUCGUGCCGUGAGCUGUCGGGUUAAGUCCCGUAACGAGCGCAACCCUUGCCGUUAGUUACAAGUGUCUAAGGGGACUGCCCGGGACAAUUGGGAGGAAGGUGGGGAUGAUGUCAAGUCAGCAUGUCCUUUAUAUCCAGGGGUACACUCACGUUACAAUGGCCGG